rnacentral:rRNA from 1 species
UACGUAGGGUGCGAGCGUUGCCCGGAUUUAUUGGGCGUAAAGAGCGCGCAGGCGGUCGUUCAAGUCGCGUGUGAAAGCCCCCCGGCUCAACUGGGGAGGGUCACGCGAUACUGAUCGACUCGAAGGCAGGAGAGGGUAGUGGAAUUCCCGGUGUAGUGGUGAAAUGCGUAGAUAUCGGGAGGAACACCAGUAGCGAAGGCGGCUCGCUGGGCCAUUCCUGACGCUGAGACGCGAAAGCUAGGGGAGCGAACAGG